UACGUAGGUGGCGAGCGUUGUCCGGAUUUAUUGGGUUUAAAGGGUGCGUAGGCGGCCCUAUAAGUCAGUGGUGAAAUAUCGCAGCUUAACUGUGAGGGUGCCAUUGAUACUGUAGGGCUUGAGUGAAUUUGAGGUAGGCGGAAUUGACGGUGUAGCGGUGAAAUGCUUAGAUAUCGUCAAGAACACCGAUAGUGAAGACAGCUUACCAAGCUUCAACUGACGCUGAGGCACGAAAAGUGUGGGGAUCAAAACAGG
rnacentral:rRNA from 1 species